rnacentral:rRNA from 1 species
CCUACGGGUGGCAGCAGUGAGGAAUAUUGGUCAAUGGACGGAAGUCUGAACCAGCCAUGCCGCGUGCAGGAAGACGGCCCUAUGAGUUGUAAACUGCUUUUGUACAAGGGUAAACCUGAAUACGUGUAUUUAGCUGAAAGUACUGUACGAAUAAGGAUAGGCUAACUCCGUGCCAGCAGCCGCGGUAAUACGGAGGAUCCAAGCGUUAUCCGGAUUUAUUGGGUUUAAAGGGUGCGUAGGCGGAUUGCUAAGUUAGAGGUGAAAUGUCCGAGCUUAACGGGGUGAAGUGCCAUUGAUACUGCCUUGCUGGAAUGCGGAUGCCGUGGGAGGAAUGUGUGGUGUAGCGGUGAAAUGCAUAGAUAUCACACAGAACACCGAUUGCGAAGGCGUCUCACGAGUCCGCGAUUGACGCUGAUGCACGAAAGCGUGGGUAUCAAACAGGAUUAGAUACCCGUGUAGUC